rnacentral:rRNA from 1 species
UACGUAGGGUGCGAGCGUUAAUCGGAAUUACUGGGCGUAAAGCGUGCGCAGGCUGUUUUGCAAGUCAGAUGUGAAAUCCCUGGGCUCAACCUAGGAACUGCGUUUGAAACUACAAGGCUAGAGUGUGGCAGAGGGGGGUAGAAUUCCACGUGUAGCAGUGAAAUGCGUAGAGAUGUGGAGGAAUACCGAUGGCGAAGGCAGCCCCCUGGGAUAACACUGACGCUCAUGCACGAAAGCGUGGGGAGCAAACAGG